rnacentral:rRNA from 1 species
UACGAAGGGGGCUAGCGUUGCUCGGAAUUACUGGGCGUAAAGGGAGCGUAGGCGGAUAGUUUAGUCAGAGGUGAAAGCCCAGGGCUCAACCCUGGAAUUGCCUUUGAUACUGGCUAUCUUGAGUACGGGAGAGGUGUGUGGAACUCCGAGUGUAGAGGUGAAAUUCGUAGAUAUUCGGAAGAACACCAGUGGCGAAGGCGACACACUGGCCCGUUACUGACGCUGAGGCACGAAAGCGUGGGGAGCAAACAGG